UUGAAUUCUACUGUACUCAUCAGGACCAAGUCCAUACACUAGUCAUUUCUUAGCUUUAGCAUUUUUCUCCCAUUUCCUUAGGUCUUCAGCAGUACAAUCUGCUCUAGUCUUAGGCAUAUCCAAUCCUUCAGCAGUCUUCUUGGUUGUGGCUAAAGGAAAAUCAGUUGUGAUGUCCCAAAGCUCAUAGUCUUCACCCAUAAUGUGGUCUCAUUCUGUUUUUCCACCAAGAGUAGUAGAGCCCAUUGAAGAGUGGAGGCCUUGCAGUAGACUGUCCUUCCCAAUUCCCAGGUGGUGC
rnacentral:lncRNA from 1 species